UACGUAGGGGGCAAGCGUUAUCCGGAAUUACUGGGUGUAAAGGGUGAGUAGGCGGCAUGGUAAGCCAGAUGUGAAAGCCUUGGGCUUAACCCGAGGAUUGCAUUUGAAACUAUCAAGCUAGAGUACAGGAGAGGAAAGCGGAAUUCCUAGUGUAGCGGUGAAAUGCGUAGAUAUUAGGAAGAACUCCAGUGGCGAAGGCGGCUUUCUGGACUGAAACUGACGCUGAGGCACGAAAGCGUGGGGAGCGAACAGG
rnacentral:rRNA from 1 species